AUGGCUGGUCUUGUCCUGCCUGAUUCUGCCAGGGGCACCUGGCUCCUCUGCUGUGUGGCCCUCUGUCUUUCGGGGACAGGUUCGGCAGAUGUCGGAGUCACCCAGUCCCCAAGACAUCUAAUCAAAGGCCAAGGCGGGGAGGCCGUUCUCAAAUGCCGUCCCAUCUCUGGACACAGUGGCGUGAGCUGGUACCAGCAGGCUCGGGGGCAGGGCCCCCAGUUCCUCAUCCAGUAUGACGAAAUGUCCGAGAGGGACAGAGGAAACAUCCCCGAUCGCUUCUCAGCUCAACAGUUCCGUGACUACAGCUCCGAGCUGAACGUGAGCUCCCUGCAGCGGGCGGACUCGGCCCUGGACCUCUGUGCCAGCAGCUGA